GGCCAGACUCCUACGGGAGGCAGCAGUGGGGGAUAUUGGACAAUGGGGGGAACCCUGAUCCAGCGACGCCGCGUGAGUGAAGAAGUAUUUCGGUAUGUAAAGCUCUGUCAGCAGGGAAGAAAGAAAUGACGGUACCUGACCAAGAAGCCCCGGCUAACUACGUGCCAGCAGCCGCGGUAAUACGUAGGGGGCAAGCGUUAUCCGGAUUUACUGGGUGUAAAGGGAGCGUAGACGGCAGCGCAAGUCUGAAGUGAAAUGCCGGGGCUUAACCCCGGAACUGCUUUGGAAACUGUGCAGCUAGAGUGCAGGAGAGGUAAGUGGAAUUCCUAGUGUAGCGGUGAAAUGCGUAGAUAUUAGGAGGAACACCAGUGGCGAAGGCGGCUUGCUGGGUCGAUACUGACAUUGAGGCACGAAAGCGUGGGGAGCAAACAGGAUUAGAUACCCGCGUAU
rnacentral:rRNA from 1 species